rnacentral:rRNA from 1 species
CACGUAGGGGGGCAAGCGUUGUCCGGAUUUAUUGGGCGUAAAGAGCUCGUAGGCGGCUCAGUAAGUCGGGUGUGAAACCUCCAGGCUCAACCUGGAGACGCCAUCCGAUACUGCUGUGGCUAGAGUCCGGUAGGGGAGCGUGGAAUUCCCAGUGUAGCGGUGAAAUGCGCAGAUAUUGGGAGGAACACCAGCGGCGAAGGCGGCGCUCUGGGCCGGAACUGACGCUGAGGAGCGAAAGCGUGGGUAGCGAACAGG